rnacentral:misc_RNA from 1 species
GAUGAAGAACGCAGCGAAAUGCGAUAAGUAAUGUGAAUUGCAGAAUUCAGUGAAUCAUCGAGUCUUUGAACGCACAUUGCGCCCCCUGGUAUUCCGGGGGGCAUGCCUGUCCGAGCGUCAUUGCCGCCCUCAAGCACGGCUUGUGUGUUGGGCCCCCGCCCCCCGGCUUCGGGGGGCGGGCCCGAAAGGCAGCGGCGGCACCGCGUCCGGUCCUCGAGCGUAUGGGGCUUCGUCACCCGCUCUGUAGGCCCGGCCGGCGCCCGCCGGCGACCCCAAUCAAUCUUUUCAGGUUGACCUCGGAUCAGGUAGGGAUACCCGCUGAACUUAAGCAUAUCAAUAAGCGGAGGA